rnacentral:rRNA from 1 species
AUUGAACGCUGGCGGCGUGCCUAACACAUGCAAGUCGAGCGGUAACAGGUGUAGCAAUACAUGCUGACGAGCGGCGAACGGGUGAGUAAUGCUUCGGAAUCUACCCAAUGGUGGGGAUAACCAGCCGAAAGGUUGGCUAAUACCGCAUACGUCCCACGGGAGAAAGCAGGGGAUCGCAAGACCUUGCGCCAAUGGAUGAGCCGAAGUCGGAUUAGCUAGUUGGAGGGUAACGGCCUACCAAGGCGACGAUCCGUAGCUGGUCUGAGAGGACGACCAGCCACACUGGGACUGAGACACGGCCCAGACUCCUACGGGAGGCAGCAGUGGGGAAUAUUGGACAAUGGGGGAAACCCUCGAUCCAGCGACGCCGCGUGUGUGAAGAAGGCCU